CCUACGGGAGGCAGCAGUGGGGAAUAUUGCACAAUGGGGGAAACCCUGAUGCAGCGACGCCGCGUGAGUGAAGAAGGAUUUCGGUAUGUAAAGCUCUAUCAGCAGGGAAGAAAAUGACGGUACCUGACUAAGAAGCCCCGGCUAACUACGUGCCAGCAGCCGCGGUAAGACGUAGGGGGCAAGCGUUAUCCGGAUUUACUGGGUGUAAAGGGAGCGUAGACGGCCAGACAAGUCAGAAGUGAAAGCCGAGGGCUCAACCCUGGGACUGCUUUUGAAACUGCCGGGCUGGAGUGCAGGAGAGGUCAGCGGCAUUCCUCUUGUCGCGGUGACAUGCGUCGAUAUUCGGCG
rnacentral:rRNA from 1 species